GGAGUUAGCCGGUGCUUCUUCUGCGAGUAACGUCACAGAUGUAAGGUAUUAACUUACACCCUUUCCUCCUCGCUGAAAGUGCUUUACAACCCGAAGGCCUUCUUCACACACGCGGCAUGGCUGCAUCAGGGUUUCCCCCAUUGUGCAAUAUUCCCCACUGCUGCCUCCCGUAGGAGUCUGGGCCGUGUCUCAGUCCCAGUGUGGCUGAUCAUCCUCUCAGACCAGCUAGGGAUCGUCGCCUAGGUGAGCCUUUACCUCACCUACUAGCUAAUCCCACCUGGGCUUAUCCAUCAGCGCAAGGCCCGAAGGUCCCCUGCUUUCCCCCGUAGGGCGUAUGCGGUAUUAGCAGUCGUUUCCAACUGUUAUCCCCACAAAUGGGCAAAUUCCCAGGCAUUACUCACCCGUCCGCCGCUCGUCAUCUUCAAAAGCAAGCUUUUGAAAUGUUACCGCUCGACUUGCAUGUGUUAGGCCUGCCGCCAGCGUUCAAUCUGAGCCAUGAUCAACUCUGA
rnacentral:rRNA from 1 species